AAAAAAAGUAAAAUUUGGCAGGGCUCAUUGUAAGCUGGUGAGGAGGCAUGAGUGGAGAGAAUUCCUAAAAGAGAUCCUAACUUAAUCAAUCACUUGAAACAGGAGGCAAAAAGCUGCUUUCAGAAAUAGAUCAAAAGGGUUGGAUUGGCCCAGGCGUGCACACACCGUAUCAAUCUCUGGCCCAACCAUGCGAGGCCCCAGGCAUCACCUCACAAGCGUGCACAGAGCAGCCUGGUUUUAUUUGUAAAUGCACAGGAACCACCUGAAACCCAACCCCAGGGUAAGGCUGAUGGGGCAGGGGCCAUGUGGAGUAGGAGUCAGGACCAAAUGGAAAUUCCCUUGGAUUUAUUUUCCUCCUGAUUUCAUGCCGGUGGAACACACACUAAAUUCAUCCCCAAACUGACCAAUUAGUGGGGCCCCAUCUAAGAGAUGGAAAAGGGCCUGAGGCAAGAAAGAAAGGCCAGGGCUGGCUGGUGCCAAGGACAGAAGACCUGCCUCCCUGGCCUGUACCUGUAUGAACUCAACUCCCAGGAACUGAGGCCACUCCUGUCUCUCAUCUCCGUGCUCAAGGCUUUGAGCCCAGUAUCCAGCCUUAGUUCACCUAACCCUCUGCACAUGAAAGCAUGCGUAUGUUCGUUCACCAAGAAGACAAAUACAAGAAUGUCCACAGCAGAAUUAGUUAUAAUAACCUCCUACUAAAACCAGCCCAAAUGCCCAUCAACAGUCAAGUGUAUAAAUAAAUUGUGC
rnacentral:lncRNA from 1 species